UUCUAAGAGUCAAUCAUCCUAACAUCCAUAAGGUAAGGUGGAAAUGACAGAUGGUGGCAUGCUUCACUCUAAUUUUAGGAUUGCAGAUAGCUCGCCUGCUCAGCCUCUCUUCUGGCUUGGACUGGACCAGGAACAGCUACUCCCUCAGUCAUCAUGUCCAGAAGUUUAAAAGACUUUCAUGGAAUUUGACGAGACUGAAUGACACAGGGAUUGCUGUUGGAUCGUGCAGUCUAUCACCUCCAUGGCACUGGGCCUAUCCAUCUUUCUAGGGUUUGCACAUCAGGUAAAAUUUCAGAAGAAAUUAAUGGAAGAGCUGCUAGUGACUAAAAUCGAAUCAGUAUUUCACCUCCACAUGACAUGGUUUGCUUCCUUCCAGCUAGCAUUAAAUAGCAAGCAGCAAAUAAAGACACAUUGCAGUGGAACCA
rnacentral:lncRNA from 1 species